GAUGAACGCUGGCGGCGUGCCUAAUACAUGCAAGUCGAGCGAACGGACGAGAAGCUUGCUUUUCUGAUGUUAGCGGCGGACGGGUGAGUAACACGUGGAUAACCUACCUAUAAGACUGGGAUAACUUCGGGAGACCGGAGCUAAUACCGGAUAAUAUUUUGAACCGCAUGGUUCAAAAGUGAAAGACGGUCUUGCUGUCACUUAUAGAUGGAUCCGCGCUGCAUUAGCUAGUUGGUAAGGUAACGGCUUACCAAGGCAACGAUGCAUAGCCGACCUGAGAGGCUGAUCGGCCACACUGGAGCUUGGCCACGGUCCAGACUCCUACGGUAGGCACCAGUCGGGAAUCUUCCGCAACGGGCGAAAGCCUUACGGAGCAACGCCGCGUGAGUUAUGAAGGUCUUCGGAUCGUAAAACUCUGUUACUAGUGAAGAACAUCUGUGUCAGUAGCUGUGGCCAGCUUGACGGUACCUAAUCAGAAAGCCCCGGCUAACUACGUG
rnacentral:rRNA from 1 species